ensembl:lncRNA
UUAUAUUUUCACAAAUCAGAGAAACUUUAUAAAUGGCUAGUUACAUAUAACUAUAGGUUACAGUUCCAUACCGUACCACGGUAUAUCUUCACAUGUUUACAUACAACUACACAGUACAGUACCAGAGGACUGUUAGACAAAUAGCUAGCGUCACCCUGUGGCUGUUGAAGCAGCCCUGUGUGGAUAAUGAAGGCAUACAAGGUUUCUUCUUUCAGCACAUUGACGACUACAGCUGGUCUCAAUUCAAUCUCUACCUACCCCUUCCCCUUGGCCCUAAUAUGGACAUGUUUGCCGAUCUGAAGGGUCUGGAUAGAUAUUAGCAGGGUAGAGGUGAAGCUUCCGCCAUACAGAUCUGCAAACAUUAAAGGUUAGGUCCAUGGGCAGUAGGUGGAGGGAGGCCUUUGCUGAGCCACUGAGGCGUUCUGAUGCUGCUGCAGGGCACUGUUGGCUAUGUAGAACAGCUACUGUAGCUGACGGCCUGUCACCAUGGGCGGGCACCAUAGACAUAUAUAUUAACCCUGGGCAGGCACCAUAGACAUACAUGUUAACCCUGGGGAGGCACCAUAGACAUACAUGUCAACCCUGGGGAGGCACCAUAGACAUACAUAUUAACCCUGGGGAGGCACCAUAGACAUACAUAUUAACCCUGGGGAGGCACCAUAGACAUACAUAUUAACCCUGGGGAGGCACCAUAGACACACAUAUUAACCCUGGGGAGGCACCAUAGACAUACAUAUUGUGCUUCUACACCUGCAUUGCUUGCUGUUUGGGGUUUUAGGCUGGGUUUCUGUACAGCACUUUGAGAUAUCAGCUGAUGUAAGAAGGGCUUUAUAAAUACAUUUGAUUUGAUAUUAACCAUGGCUGUGCGCCUCAGGGAGUCAGUGAAAGGGACUCCAAACGAGCCCUGAUUACAGUAUCACAGGGCAUACGGUAUGCACAUACCCAUCUAUUGACCCUGCUGAAUUACUGAAAUGGAUCCUACGGAGGAAGGGAUGUUCAUUUAAUGUUCUACAGCAGGAGAGAAUCCAGAUGAUGAAAACUGGAAGGAUCAUUAUCGGCAACAUAACUAAAUAAAUAUGAACACAGUUAGUAACAACAAUGAAAGGCACAUUAAGGUACGAAUAAGAAUCAAGACCCAAUGCAAUUUUGGAGGAGAGUCAGAGAGAGAACACUCCAACAACAUAGCCUACAGACAGGUAUCUUGGCAUACCAAAGUGCCUCGGAGACACGGGUGAGAGUGCCACAGAAUCAUACAUGGUUCAUUCUUGAAUUGUGGUGGCAUGUGUCCCUUUGCAACCAUGAAAAAUGGACAAAUAGUUAGACAAUAAUAAAACAAUUUGUAUUUAUUAUGUACCCCCAUUAGCUGCUGCCAAGGCAGCAAAAUGAAGGCAGUUCAUACAAUUAUAAAAACAUUACAUUCAGACUGUGUGCCCUCAGGUCCCCUACUGCACCACAUAUAUACCGUACAAAAUCCAUGUGCACAUGACUAUAUAGUGCGUAUGCUAUCGUGUGUUUAUGCUCCAUAAACAGGGGACUGUGAAUGUGGUGACUGUGAAUGUGGGGACUGUGAAUGUAUUGAUUCACAGUCCCCGAUGUUCAAUAAGGUGUUUAAAAGAUUUUAAAAAAUAUAUUAAAAAUAUAUAUUUUUGUAUCUAAUUUUACUGCUUGCAUGAGUUACGAGAUGUGGAAUAGAGUUCCAUGUAGUCAUGGCUCUAUUUAGUACUGUGUGCUUUCCAUAGUCUGUUCUGGACUUGGGGACUGUGAAGAGACCUCUUGUGGCAUGUCUUGUGGGAUAUGCCUGGGUGUCCGAGCUGUGUCCCAGGAGUUCAAACAGACGGCUAGGUGCAUUCAACAUGUCAAUACCUCUCAUAAAUACAAGUAGUGAUAAAGUCCAUCUCUCCUCCAUUUUGAACCAGGAGAGAUUGACAUGCAUAUUAUUAAUAUUAGCUCUAUGUGUACAUCCAAGGGCCAGCCGCGCUGCCCUGUUCUGAAACAAAUGCAAUUUUCCAAUGUCCUUUUUUGUGGCACCUGACCACACGACUGAACAGUCGUAGGCCUGUAGGACCUACCUUGUUGACAGUGCUGUCAAGAUGGUAGAGCAGCGUCUUAUCAUAGACAUACUUCGCCACCUCUUAGCUACUGUAAUGCAAGUCCAUUAAAUAAUGUAUUAACAGAAAGUUUUGCAGUAUAAAGUACUUAGGGCAAGUAAUCACAUUGGCUUGUCCAGGUAGUGAUGUGUGAAGUUGUAGUGACAUUUUGGGGAUUUAGAGCUAAAUAUUAUUUUGAAUGUUAGAAGAUGAAAAAGGUAUUUAAUAUAUUGUUUAGAUCAAUGAAAACAAAGGCUAUUAAAAAUAUAUAUAUUUUUACUACUAUAUCUUUCCCUCAGUUUUAUUUCCUUGGAGUUACCGCCUGAAAAACCACUCAUUACAAAGAUAUACAAGGACCUCGACCAUUCCCUCCAGUGGAAAACAUUGGGGGAGACGUCUUUAUUAAAGAAAAUUGUUAGCUAAUCACACUAUUUUUUAUUAUGUCAUACAUUUGAGGAUUCCAUUGAUAAUGUGGUGUGUCUGAAUCCAGUGUCACUUGGGGUUAGUCCAUUUAAAAAGGGAAAUAACAUUAUGAGCUCAAUUAUUAAUCAUAUCCCUUUAGUCAACUAUUUUAUGGGUUAAUGAUCUUAGAUUUAAGUAUCGUGGCCUCCAUUUAAGAAAAUCCUCAAUAAACAAAAUUCUCAUUGGUGUUACGACUCCUACUGGUGGCACAAUGUUAUCCUAAUGGUCAAUACAUUUCAAUAAAUACAAAUCUAGAAAGCAUGUUGUUUUUAAUUACGCCAUACCCAAAUGCCACCGUAAUUCAAGAACGACUCUGGUAUAAAAAUAUUGAUUUGCUGAUGUUGGUAAACCCGGCUCUCAACACAGGUCAUCGGUACUUGGUCUCCUCCUUACCUCUUGUCCUCCAAAGAUUUUUUUUGAUUUGACCUUUAUUUAACUAGGCAAGUCAGUUAAGAACAAAUUCUUAUUUUCAAUGACAGCAUAGGAACAGUGGGUUAACUGCCUUGUUCAGGGGCAGAACGACAGAUUUGAUGAUGUCGGAGUCUCCAUCUUAAACCUCAUCUGGAAGAAGUCUGUCGUGUCUGAGUAUGUCAAACCUGGGAGUGAGUGAGAAAGUGAGACUAUUUCAGGUGGGUGGCUUGGCAACUCAAAUACAGCAGUGCAACAAGCUAGCUCACGAAGAGAUUAUUUGUUAUUUUACAACACAGUCAAAUACAAAACACGAGAGCAUCCUACAAACAGGCCGUGAAGGCCAGAGGGGAAGUCAAACACAAUGGAAUACUGAGAAGCACUGUGACCUCUGCCCCUGUGUGAUGUCAGAGAUGACCCAGGACAGUGUGUGCUUUGGGAUGCCUUCAAACAACUAAAUAGCAGCUCAAAGGUCUCCAUGAUCCCCCCAUAGACAACAAAAUAUACACAUCAGGGAAAUUCUAAAUAGGACAACAUCAUUACUGAGAAUUCAGAAUCAGAAAACAGAUAAUACCUAUAGUAGAUUCUAGAAUGUUGAUACUCAGAAUUGAAAUAAACCAGUGAUCUUUAGGCCUGUCUGCCUCAGAAGGUUGCACAGAGAACCACUGCGAUGGCACUGCCAAUCUUCAGUUAUCAUAGUACUGUACUUGACAGGCACACAGCACCGGUACCAUGAUAACUGAAAAUGGACAGUUCAUAGUCUGAGGUCUAACUCUGAGAGGAUUGAUGAUCCCACUGUCCUCCCGACUGAGACACCUGAUGAGAAACUACAAGGUAUAAAAUGUCAACACACACAUGUAGAAAUAUCAAUCUAACUGAAAACGGACCGUUCA